rnacentral:rRNA from 1 species
GACGAACGCUGGCGGCGUGCCUAAUACAUGCAAGUAGAACGCUGAAGGAGGAGCUUGCUUCUCUGGAUGAGUUGCGAACGGGUGAGUAACGCGUAGGUAACCUGCCUGGUAGUGGGGGAUAACUAUUGGAAACGAUAGCUAAUACCGCAUAAUAGCAGUUGUUGCAUGAUAACUGUUUGAAAGGUGCAAUUGCACCGCUACCAGAUGGACCUGCGUUGUAUUAGCUAGUUGGUGGGGUAACGGCUCACCAAGGCGACGAUACAUAGCCGACCUGAGAGGGUGAUCGGCCACACUGGGACUGAGACACGGCCCAGACUCCUACGGGAGGCAGCAGUAGGGAAUCUUCGGCAAUGGACGGAAGUCUGACCCAGCAACUCCGCGUGAGUGAAGAAGGUUUUCGGAUCGUAAAGCUCUGUUGUAAGAGAAGAACGAGUGUGAGAGUGGAAAGUUCACACUGUGACGGUAUCUUACCAGAAAGGGACGGCUAACUACGUG